rnacentral:rRNA from 1 species
AUUGAACGCUGGCGGCAUGCCUUACACAUGCAAGUCGAACGGCAGCACGGGAGCAAUCCUGGUGGCGAGUGGCGAACGGGUGAGUAAUAUAUCGGAACGUGCCCGGGUCGUGGGGGAUAACGUAGCGAAAGCUACGCUAAUACCGCAUACGAUCUACGGAUGAAAGCGGGGGAUCGCAAGACCUCGCGCGAUUGGAGUUCGGCCGAUAUCAGAUUAGGUAGUUGGUGAGGUAAAGGCUCACCAAGCCGACGAUCUGUAGCUGGUCUGAGAGGACGACCAGCCACACUGGGACUGAGACACGGCCCAGACUCCUACGGGAGGCAGCAGUGGGGAAUUUUGGACGAAUGGGCGCAAGCCUGAUCCAGCAAUGCCGCGUAGCAGGAUGAAGGCC